CUUCAAACUAGAGACUAGCAUUUUUCCUCUCUGGCUGUUGCAAAGCAUGAAGCAAGGGCAAUGCUGGGUCACUCUGGAAUCUUCUUGGGACCUGGGAGACAGAGAAAUGUCUUGAUUCCACAGUUUAGACACAAGGUACACUAAAUACCAGAAACAGCUCAGUUCAACCUAUGUGUAUUGUGCCGCUCUUACAACUAGAAAUACAGAGAUGAGGACACCCUCUGGAAAGGCAGUGCACGCAGAAGAGACGGAUGGAGACAACAAUGCGGCUGCCCACAGAAUCCCCUAUAGCCAAGACUUUGUCCAUCCUUCCUUCAUCCUUCAGCGAGGUCUGCCGCCUUCUCCAAGCCUCAUCUUGGAUUCUCAGAUGCUGCAGCCUGCUAAGACUGUGAUUCAGGGCUUUUCCUGACAAACCCUACUUCCCAUCUGGAUCAGCCUGACCCAAGGGAGACAGGACCUCCUAGGCUGUACCCCACCCCUCUGCUGUGUUUAACUAAGCUAAGCCUGGACAAGAGGGGCAAAUUGAUUCAAAGAGAAAUAAAUGACCAAAAAGAAUAUGGUGCAUGGAUAGGGUUAAAAUCAUGAUGAUCCUUAAAGAACCAAAUUUUAGGAAACAGUGUUUUAUGGGACGAUGUCAUCAAAAUUUCUUGUGCACUAAGAUGAUGAACUUCUCUCUCUUCUUCUGUAUAAGGGGUCUAAGAUUGUCUGCCUGGGGUGGUCGUUGGAAAGGUCAGAAAAAAGGUAAGCAGAACACUAGCCCAGUUCCUGGUAUACACAUUCAUGAGGCAUUAUUGUAUUGUUAUUGUUGUGGUUGUGGUUGCAUAGCCCAUAAUCAGGGGAUGCACCUUUGCCUCUGUAUUUCCUACACAGCCUGGAGCCUUCAAGAGAGAUGCUCAUGCCUGGGGUCCCUGCUCAGGCUGUCAUUUGGUUCAAUAAUGCCGCAAAGGGGUAGGAGGCAGAGUGUGCAGAGGUAUCUCCCGGGAGAGCAGGAUCACCUCCCAGGCCUGACCCAGGUGCUCCAGCUUUUCGGAACACUAUUUCGCUUCAACACACCACAAGGGCUCAAAUGAAAUCAUCUGCAAUAGGAUAAAGGAUUCCUAAGGCAGGUAAUUCCGUAGACAUUUCCCCCAAGGUCAAAGCUCCUGGCAGCCAGGUGUACCCUCUCCCUUCAAGUGCGAUUAUGUCUGGGCUUAGCCAGAUGAAGUUGCAAAGUGCAGAAACCUGUGCAGUCUUAGAUCACCCCAGUCGAUUUUGCAGCGAUCAUUGUCUGAGUUAGCUAAUGGCAGGGUACGAGGACCUCCCACUGAGAUUCCAUUACCUUGUAAUUUUCAGCUUGUUCACUGUUGCAAUAAAGCCCUCUGUCUUAUAAUUCCCCAGCAUUCUCGUCUCAUCUUCUCAAGAACUGAAGUAUGUAAGAUGCUUUCUGCUGGGGAUUCAUUGAGAUAAGUUAUUGAAGUCAAGCAGAG
rnacentral:lncRNA from 1 species